rnacentral:lncRNA from 1 species
GCCAAGCUACUCAUCUCCUUCGUUCCUCCAAAUUUCACCCUCUAUUUUUGCACAAGAGGAAGGCCAGCCUCAUCGAUCUCCGACAACAAGGGGAAGGCCAUCCUCAUCGAUCUUCGACGACACACCCACCUCUACCUUCCCUACACCCGUACCGAAUUAAGCCCAUAAAGCACCCAUAUCUCAACCAUCCAAACUCCGAUUCACUUGAUUCUUUUUCUUAAAUUGCUCUAAAAUUGUUUUUGGAAUUUAAUUAGCAGCCAACAUUCCAAACACCAUAUCUCAACCAUCCAAACUCCGAUUCACUUGAUUCUUUUUCUUAAAUUGCUCUAUAAUUAUAUUCUAUCUAUUCCAGCUAUUCUCCUCUCCGUUUGAGCUUAUUUUAUUUUGUGAUUGUUUUUGUUUGUGUGUUUGUCGUUUACGUCAUCAUCGCGGAGCCGAUGGAGUGAUCGAGGAGGAGAAUGAGCUUGGAGGCCAAUACCAUGAACCGGAGUACGAAGGCCAGGACCGCGAGCUGGAGCUGGAAGACCCAUACCAUGAGCAGGAGCUUCCAGAAGGCAUUAAAGAUGGAAGGUCCAACCUAUUCCCUUUUGGUCAUAUUUAUCUAGUUUUCAAACACAACCUGUAGAAGUCUUUUUAUAAAUUGCCUCAGAUUAUUUAUCUACUUUAUCUAUUUAAAACCCUGUUUGAUAGCCAUUUCUUGAUUUGAUAUAUCUUGAUUAUACCUUGACAACAUAGGAUUUAUUGCUAGACAUGAUACGCUCUGUUUAGCUGAUUACCUUGAUAUUAAUACGGUUAGGAACUGGCUACUCAACAUUAUUACUACUCGUUUUACAAAUGCAAUGGUUCUACAAAAGAUAAAAUGUGUUGAGUGUGUUGGUGUGAGUAUGGAUUGGGAUUUCGGAAAAGUGAAAAAUAAAUAACUAGGUGGUGGUGAUCAUUUUAGAUGGGGCAGAUUAGGGUUCCUUGUGUGGGAUGCCUUGGAGUAUUGGCUUGUGCCUGUGUGGCUGAGUAUGGAAGAUAUCCGCAUUGUCUGGAUUAAGGACUGAGUCGAUGUGUCAUCUUGCCUAACCUAACUUAUCGUACAACCACUCGAGAUUUGUGUGUGGCAAAGGCUUAGGAUAAAUCCCACUAGCUAGUUUGGUAGUCAUCCAUAGUCAAGUGCGCAAUAGGAGGCCAAGGAGUAGGCAUAAGCAAGUACAGGAUUAGAGGCCCGAUUGAAGGCGUCGUAUGAAGGUCAGGAACCCCUUUGUUAGCUUUCAUGGAUGACUAGGUAGGACUAUGCUAUGGUGGGUAAUGGCUUUAAUGGAUCUGCAUCGGCACUACGAUGUUCGUGUUACGGUACCCUACUUGUAGGUAAAGUGUACACCUCUGCGGAUUUAAAACAUUUUCAAAUAGCCAUGUCAACGGUCUUGGACGAGUUAUGGCUUGGUCACAUAACUAGCUAUCUGGGAAAGAUGGGCAAACCUUUUGGUGUGAAAUGGAUUUUGGAAACAUUUGGCAAGUGUGCCGUGUGCUACCAUGGACGGGGUGUCUAGUAGCACUUAAAAUUUGGAUCUUGUACGUGUAGGAUCAUCCCACUCUUUAAGCACUACCGUAAUAUGAAAAGUAUAUGUUUUGCAAAAAUCGCUUUAUAAAACUAAAUCUUGCAUGUGUACAAAAGAUUGCUUUAUGCAAAAUAAACCUUGGCCUAUCCCUUGAAUUAUCCUUAUGCAUGUAUUCUUAUACCCCUUCUAUAGGGUGGGGUUGGAUUUGCUGAGUACAUAUGUACUCACCCUUGCUUUGUUGAUACAGAGGAAGACCCGAACUACGUCGCUGGUGAAGCUUACGAGUAGAAGGUCACCUCCUCACCCAACUUACCUAUGACGUUGGGCUGUUAAGGGUGCUUCCGCUAUCGUGCAGUGCUGCUGCUUAUGGACUUGAAUGUCCAUAGGUUGCAUCUACAGCCUGUUUGUGUUAUAUCUCUUUUGGGUCUAUGUUACCCGAUCGCUCCAUAGAGAGUUUGAACUCUCUAUUGAAUAAAUAUGUGUACUAGC